AAGGACCUAUUUAACCAGAGGCUUCCAUUAAGUUUAAACAACAACCUUAUUGUUUAACCCUUAAAAUGUCCCUGCUCCCUUUCCCCCAGGGGACUGACUUAAAAACAAGUCCCAGAAACCAGCCCCAGGUGUGGAGGACCAAG